rnacentral:rRNA from 1 species
UGGGGAAUAUUGCACAAUGGGCGCAAGCCUGAUGCAGCCAUGCCGCGUGUGUGAAGAAGGCCUUCGGGUUGUAAAGCACUUUCAGCGAGGAGGAAGGUGGUGAGCUUAAUACGCUCAUCAAUUGACGUUACUCGCAGAAGAAGCACCGGCUAACUCCGUGCCAGCAGCCGCGGUAAUACGGAGGGUGCAAGCGUUAAUCGGAAUUACUGGGCGUAAAGCGCACGCAGGCGGUUUGUUAAGUCAGAUGUGAAAUCCCCGGGCUCAACCUGGGAACUGCAUUUGAAACUGGCAAGCUAGAGUCUCGUAGAGGGGGGUAGAAUUCCAGGUGUAGCGGUGAAAUGCGUAGAGAUCUGGAGGAAUACCGGUGGCGAAGGCGGCCCCCUGGACGAAGACUGACGCUCAGGUGCGAAAGCGUGGGGCAGCAAACAGGAUUAGAUACCCUGGUAGUCCACGCUGUAAACGAUGUCGAUUUUGGAGGUUGUGCCCUUGAGGCGUGGCUUCCGGAGCUAACGCGUUAAAUCGACCGCCUGGGGAGUACGGCCGCAAGGUUAAAACUUAAAGGAAUUGACGGGGUCUAGCUG